UUAGAGUUUGAUCCUGGCUCAGGACGAACGCUAUGCAGGCGUGCUAAUGUAUGCAAUGUCGAGCGGGGGGCCUCCUUCGGGCGGUUUCCUAGGCGGCGAACGGUUGAGUAACAGCGUAGGCAACCUGCCCCAGAGGGGGGGAUAACUCGCGGAAACGCGGGACUAAUACCGCAUGUGGCCCGAGGUCGCCUGACUUCGGUGCUAAAGGAGCAAUCCGCUCUGGGAGGGGCCUGCGGCCUAUCAGCUUGUUGGCGAGGUAACGGCUCACCAAGGCGACGACGGGUAGCUGGUCUGAGAGGAUGGUCAGCCAGACAGGGACUGAGACACGGCCCUGACUCCUUCGGGGGGCAGCAAUGAGGGAUAUUGCACAAUGGGGGAAACCCUGAUGCAGCGACGCCGCGUGGGUGAUGAAGUGCUUCGGCAUGUAAAGCCCUUUUCUCGGAGACGAUCAGGACGGUACCCGAGGAAGAAGCCCCGGCUAACUACGUGCCAGCAGCCGCGGUAAUACGUAGGGGGCGAGCGUUGUCCGGAUUACUGGGCGUAAAUGGACGUGUAGCGGACUCUAAUUUCCGGGGUGAAAUCCGGGGGCUUAACCCCCGAACGGCUGCCGGAAACUGGAAGCGCUUGAUUGUCUGGAAAGGGGAUGUGGAAUUCUCGGUUGUUACGGUGAAAAUGCGUUAGAGAUCGAGAAGGAACACCCGUUGGCGAAAGGCGGCUCCCUUGGCCGAACAACUGACGUUGAGACGCGAAAGCGUGGGGAGCGAACGGGAUUAGAUACCCCGGUAGUCCACGCCGUAACGAUGGUCACUAGGUGUGCGCGGUAUCGACCCCGCGUGUGCCGCAGCUAACGCAGUAAGUGACCCGCCUGGGGAGUACGGCCGCAAGGUUGAAACUCAAAGGAAUUGACGGGGGCCCGCACAAGCGGUGGAGCAUGUGGAUUAAUUCGUCAUUAACCGAAGAACCUUACCAGGGCUUGACAUCUGCGGAACUCUGGUGAAAGCUGGAGGUGCCCCGCAAGGGGAGCCGCAAGACAGGUGUUGCAUGGCUGUCGUCAGCUCGUGUCGUGAGAUGUUGGGUUAAGUCCCGCAACGAGCGCAACCCUCACGCGAUGUUGCCAGCGUCAAGUCGGGCACUCUUCGCGAACUGCCCGGGUAACCGGGAGGAAGGUGGGGAUGACGUCAAGUCAGCAUGGCCCGUACGUCCUGGGCUUCACACAUGCUACAAUGGGCGCGACAGAGGGCUGCAAACCCGCGAGGGGGAGCCAAUCCCACAAAAGCGUCCUCAGUUCGGAUUGCAGGCUGCAACUCGCCUGCAUGAAGGUGGAAUCGCUAGUAACCGCCGGUCAGCUAAACGGCGGUGAAUACGUUCCCGGGCCUUGUACACACCGCCCGUCACGUCACCUGAGUCUGCCGCACCCGAAGUCGCUGGCCCAACCGCAAGGGGGGAGGCGCCGAAGGUGUAGCCGGUAAGGGGGACGAAGUCGUACAAGGUAGCCGUAUCGGAAGGUGCGGCUGGAUCACCUCC
rnacentral:rRNA from 1 species